rnacentral:rRNA from 1 species
AGAGUUUGAUCAUGGCUCAGAUUGAACGCUGGCGGCAGGCCUAACACAUGCAAGUCGAGCGGUAACAGAGAGUAGCUUGCUACUUUGCUGACGAGCGGCGGACGGGUGAGUAAUGCUUGGGAACAUGCCUUGAGGUGGGGGACAACAGUUGGAAACGACUGCUAAUACCGCAUAAUGUCUACGGACCAAAGGGGGCUUCGGCUCUCGCCUUUAGAUUGGCCCAAGUGGGAUUAGCUAGUUGGUGAGGUAAUGGCUCACCAAGGCGACGAUCCCUAGCUGGUUUGAGAGGAUGAUCAGCCACACUGGGACUGAGACACGGCCCAGACUCCUACGGGAGGCAGCAGUGGGGAAUAUUGCACAAUGGGCGCAAGCCUGAUGCAGCCAUGCCGCGUGUGUGAAGAAGGCCUUCGGGUUGUAAAGCACUUUCAGUCAGGAGGAAAGGUUAGUAGUUAAUACCUGCUAGCUGUGACGUUACUGACAGAAGAAGCACCGGCUAACUCCGUGCCAGCAGCCGCGGUAAUACGGAGGGUGCGAGCGUUAAUCGGAAUUACUGGGCGUAAAGCGUACGCAGGCGGUUUGUUAAGCGAGAUGUGAAAGCCCCGGGCUCAACCUGGGAACUGCAUUUCGAACUGGCAAACUAGAGUGUGAUAGAGGGUGGUAGAAUUUCAGGUGUAGCGGUGAAAUGCGUAGAGAUCUGAAGGAAUACCGAUGGCGAAGGCAGCCACCUGGGUCAACACUGACGCUCAUGUACGAAAGCGUGGGGAGCAAACGGGAUUAGAUACCCCGGUAGUCCACGCCGUAAACGAUGUCUACUAGAAGCUCGGAGCCUCGGUUCUGUUUUUCAAAGCUAACGCAUUAAGUAGACCGCCUGGGGAGUACGGCCGCAAGGUUAAAACUCAAAUGAAUUGACGG